GCCCUGGUGGUGGAAUUGGUAGACACAAGGGAUUUAAAAUCCCUCGGCGUUCGCGCUGUGCUGGUUCAAGUCCGGCCCGGGGCACCA
rnacentral:tRNA from 2 species